rnacentral:lncRNA from 1 species
AGUAAACCAAAAGUUGCGGACAAUUCUAAUUAAAUUUUAUACGCAAGGUUCUAAAUCAUCCUUUCUCUAGCAGUAUUAUUCAUGAUAGAUCAUUGCUGUUGUUGUUCCUGUGAUUUCUGUUAUGUGUAUAUGACAAUUUAUUAUCCUACUUAUAUAAUGUUGAACCAUUUCUCAGCUUCAUUGUGAACAGAGGCCAUACAAAUGAUUUCGUCGACUUGCUAAAUGAAGUAUCUGCCACUUAGUUCAACAACGUUAUAUAAACGACUAGCAAUUUUUCCAGACUUACCAAUGAUUCUUCAUUUUGUUUGGAAGAAUAAGUUUAUUAUUAUCGCAUCAAUAAACGAUUACAUAAACCAGAAGAACCGUUCUACACAAUUUUAUCUCAUAAAACUAGCAAGCCAUUAUUUUUGGGAAAAGUUUAAGCGUGUAUAAAGCUUGC